GUUAUAUAAAAGUGGAAGAGUCUGGAUGAUUUUAGUUGUCUCCGACGAUUUACUAUCAAGUAACAAAAACAAAAUGGCGAAACUUUUGCUUAUUUUUGCUUUGUGCCUUAGUACUACUUUGGCUGUACCAAAUCUUAAAUUCUCUCGCAGCCAUCUUGCGUUGACACGUGUAGCUUCCCAACUUAAGUCUGUUGAUGCAGGCUUUGAAACUUGUCUCCAAUUAAUGAUUAGCAUUAUUUAUGAUGCUCUUUUGGUCCACUUCGAUCAACUACUGAAUUGCACCCACGACCUAGUUCAAGAAGUCCAAGCCAUUGAGGAAGAAAUUGCUCAAACCACUGAGCUUACCACCAUUGACUUUCUAGCUAAGGUUCGUGUCUUUGAGGCUUGUGGUAGUGACGAAGCAUGUAGAGCAGCCGCCAUGAAAGAUAUUGUUGAAGUUAUUGCUGGAUACAUCCAGGAUGUGAAUGAAAUUUCUAAUAGACAUGAGACUAGUUUGUUGGAGAAAUUCCCCGAAGCUGCUAAAUGCAUUGAUAAUGAUAACUUAGCAUUGAUUGAUGCUAUCAAAACGGCCGGUAGUAACUUUGUCGCCUGUGUCACUGAAGGCAACAGUGUGUAAUAUUUUAAAUAUUUUAUUAAAUAAAAACACUAUGAAUCUAUAACACAA